rnacentral:tRNA from 1 species
GGAAGUAUGGGUGAGUGAACGAUACCACCUCUUUGCUAAAGAGGCAAGCUGAAAGGCUUCGGAGGUUUGAAUCCUUCUGCUUCCGCAA